GACGAACGCUGGCGGCGCGCUUAACACAUGCAAGUCGAGCGAAGCGGCGGACGGGUGAGUAACACGUGAGUAACCUGCCUUAGACAUUGGGAUAGCCUCGGGAAAUCGGGAUUAAUACCAAAUGGUCUAAGAUGGACUCGCGUCUCAUUAGAUAGUUGGUGAGGAAACGGCCCACCAAGGCGACGAUGGGUAGCCGGCCUGAGAUGGGGAACGGCCACAUUGGAACUGGGAAACGGUCCAAACUCUACGGAAGGCAGCAGUGGGGAAUAUUGCACAAUGGAGGGAACUCUGAUGCAGAGACGCCGCGGGAACGAAGAAGGCUAUCGAGUCGUAAAGUUCUUUCGCUAUCGAACGGGUAGGUGGAGAAGAAGCGCCAGCUAACUACGUGCCAGCAGCCGCGGUAAUAC
rnacentral:rRNA from 1 species